rnacentral:rRNA from 1 species
AAACUUCCAACAACGGAUCUCUUGGUUCCAGCAUCGAUGAAGAACGCAGCGAAAUGCGAUAACUAAUGUGAAUUGCAGAAUUUAGUGAAUCAUCGAGUCUUUGAACGCACAUUGCGCCCCUCGGUAUUCCGGGGGGCAUGCCUGUUCGAGCGUCAUUA